GAUGAACGCUAGCGGCAGGCCUAACACAUGCAAGUCGAGGGAGGAGCCUUCGGGCUUCGACCGGCGUACGGGUGCGUAACGCGUAUACAAUCUGCCUUUCACAUAGGGAUAGCCCGAAGAAAUUUGGAUUAAUACCUAAUGGUAUAUAGGGAUGGCAUCAUUUUUAUAUUAAAGCUGAGGCGGUGAAAGAUGAGUAUGCGUUCUAUUAGCUAGUUGGAGAGGUAACGGCUCCCCAAGGCGACGAUAGAUAGGGGUUCUGAGAGGGAUAUCCCCCACACUGGUACUGAGAUACGGACCAGACUCCUACGGGAGGCAGCAGUGAGGAAUAUUGGACAAUGGUCGGAAGACUGAUCCAGCCAUGCCGCGUGCAGGAAGACGGCCUUAUGGGUUGUAAACUGCUUUUGCAGGGGAAGAAUAAGGACUACGUGUAGUUUGAUGACGGUACUCUGCGAAUAAGCAUCGGCUAACUCCGUGCCAGCAGCCGCGGUAAUACGGAGGAUGCGAGCGUUAUCCGGAAUCAUUGGGUUUAAAGGGUCCGUAGGCGGGCUAAUAAGUCAGAGGUGAAAGCGCUCAGCUCAACUGAGCAACUGCCUUUGAAACUGUUAGUCUUGAAUGGUUGUGAAGUAGUUGGAAUGUGUAGUGUAGCGGUGAAAUGCUUAGAUAUUACACAGAACACCGAUAGCGAAGGCAUAUUACUAACAAUUAAUUGACGCUGAUGGACGAAAGCGUGAGGAGCGAACAGG
rnacentral:rRNA from 1 species